CUCAUGGUGCAAAGUACAUGACUCCCACUCACCUGUCAAUCUGGCACAGCCCUGAUACACCUUCAAAACUUUAUGGCAGUAGGGGGCUUCUUCUUCUUGCUCCCUAACUUCUUGCCCAACUGUGACAUGCAUUUAUAAUACAUUUAGUCCUGUAUCAAGGGUCAUAAUCUACAUGCCAAUUAUAACAUAGGGAACUUUAAUUGAUUCAACUCCUCCGUUCCCUAAAUCUUUUCUUUUCUCUCUUCUUUUUCUUUUUAAUAAAUUAACUCACUAUUUAUGUGUAUUAGGGACUCCUUUGCAUGAGUACAAGGUCCCUUUUAGCUUGAUCUAGGCUUAAUACUCUAUUAUAGCAUGAAAUCCCUUAUUUUCCACCCGGAUGAACAGUAACCCGGACUGACAGUGGGUUACUUCAUCCCGGUUUUGAUCCACUUUCGGGACUCCAAAUUUGAUGAAAUUUUUACCUAACAUUCUACACUCAUAGAGAAUUCUAAA
rnacentral:lncRNA from 1 species